AACUAACCCUGGAGAAUAGAUUGUACCUCACUAGCGUCGCCAGUCUCCUAAGCGAAGGUUGGUGUAAGAACCUUCACCUCCUUCUGUUUCAUGGGAGCCGCUGGCGCCAUGUCGGACGCGAUGACAUCUGAAUUGGCAGAAAACACACAUCGGCUGCGAGCGCGGCCGUAUUUUGGAGCUAAACCUAGAAAGUUUCUUGAUUUAUGACGAAAGUGGAGUUCGUGUGGAAAAGGUGGAGGCAAAUCGGUCGAGGUGGGUUUACACAGGGCUGGCAGUUUGGUCCAUACACACGGAUAUAAGAAAUAUGUAUUGACUAUAUUUGCGUAUACUGUACAUACGAGGUUUUCAUUAGCUAAAUUUGGUUAUAUCUGCGUAUAAUGUACAUACAAGGUUUCCAUUAGCUAGACCACGGAUACAAGAAAAAUGAACUGACUAUAUUUGGUUAUAUUUGCGUAUAAUGCAUGGACAAUAUCAUUGAACAUCAGCUAAAUGCCUAAAUUUCCA